UGGGGAAUAUUGCACAAUGGGCGCAAGCCUGAUGCAGCCAUGCCGCGUGUAUGAAGAAGGCCUUAGGGUUGUAAAGUACUUUCAGCGGGGAGGAAGGUGUUGUGGUUAAUAACCUCAGCAAUUGACGUUACCCGCAGAAGAAGCACCGGCUAACUCCGUGCCAGCAGCCGCGGUAAUACGGAGGGUGCAAGCGUUAAUCGGAAUUACUGGGCGUAAAGCGCACGCAGGCGGUCUGUCAAGUCGGAUGUGAAAUCCCCGGGCUCAACCUGGGAACUGCAUCCGAAACUGGCAGGCUUGAGUCUUGUAGAGGGGGGUAGAAUUCCAGGUGUAGCGGUGAAAUGCGUAGAGAUCUGGAGGAAUACCGGUGGCGAAGGCGGCCCCCUGGACAAAGACUGACGCUCAGGUGCGAAAGCGUGGGGAGCAAACA
rnacentral:rRNA from 1 species